GACGAACGCUGGCGGCGUGCUUAACACAUGCAAGUCGAACGAUGAAGCCCUGCUUGCAGGGUGGAUUAGUGGCGAACGGGUGAGUAACACGGGGGUGAUCUGCCCCGCACUUCGGGAUAAGCCUGGGAAACUGGGUCUAAUACCGGAUAGGACCCCCCUUUAGGGUGGGGGGUGGAAAGAUUCAUCGGUGUGGGAUGCGCUCGCGGCCUAUCAGCUUGUUGGUGGGGUAAUGGCCUACCAAGGCGUCGACGGGUAGCCGGCCUGAGAGGGUGGACGGCCACAUUGGGACUGAGAUACGGCACAGACUCCUACGGGAGGCAGCAGUGGGGAAUCUUGCACAAUGGGCGAAAGCCUGAUGCAGCGACGCCGCGUGAGGGAUGACGGCCUUCGGGUUGUAAACCUCUUUCGCCCACGACGAAGCCCUUUUGGGGUGACGGUAGUGGGAUAAGAAGCACCGGCUAACUACGUGCCAGCAGCCGCUGUAAAAC
rnacentral:rRNA from 1 species